rnacentral:tRNA from 1 species
GGGUAUAGCUCAGUGGUAUAAAGCACGUGCCUAGCAUGCAUGAGAUCCUGGGUUCAAUCCCUUGUACCUCCA